rnacentral:lncRNA from 1 species
GUAGUGUAGUGGUGUGUGUAGUGUAGUGUAGUGUUGUGUAGUGGUGUUGUGUGUGUAGUGUAGUGGUGUGUGUAGUGUAGUGGUGUGUGUAGUGUAGUGGUGUGUGUAGUGUAGUGGUGUGUGUAGUGUAGUGGUGUGUGUAGUGUAGUGUAGUGUAGUGGUGUGUGUAGUGUAGUGGUGUGUGUAGUGUAGUGGUGUGUGUAGUGUAGUGGUGUGUGUGUAGUGUAGUGGUGUGUGUAGUGUAGUGGUGUGUGUAGUGUAGUGGUGUGUGUAGUGUAGUGGUGUGUGUAGUGUAGUGGUGUGUGUAGUGUAGUGUAGUGGUGUGUGUAGUGUAGUGGUGUGUGUAGUGUAGUGGUGUGUGUAGUGUAGUGGUGUGUGUAGUGUAGUGGUGUGUGUAGUGUAGUGGUGUGUGUAGUGUAGUGGUGUGUGUAGUGUAGUGGUGUGUGUAGUGUAGUGGUGUGUGUGGUGUAGUGGUGUGUGUAGUGUAGUGGUGUGUGUAGUGUAGUGGUGUGUGUAGUGUAGUGGUGUGUGUAGUGUAGUGGUGUGUGUGGUGUAGUGGUGUGUGUAUGUGUAGUGGUGUGUGUAGUGUAGUGGUGUGUGUAGUGUAGUGGUGUGUGUAGUGUAGUGGUGUGUGUGGUGUAGUGGUGU